AUCUCACGGAGCAAUUAGUCGAGUUCUGCUGUGCAACGAAGUCUCCGAAGCUUCUAGUUGUGAAUGCGUGAUAAUUAUGAAGUGGAUAGGCAAGUAGUGGAUGUUAAAUAUGGUUCCCUUGAUUCGUUUCUCUCGACAUGUGGUGAUUAAUAAAUGAACAAGUGAGUAAUGGAUUGUCAGCGGCUGUAUCUUUACGCAUAUGGGAGAAAGUGGGAAGAACGCGAAGGAUCCGACGUGGAGAUGCCUUUCUGAUAGCUAUAUAAGCACUAGAAGAGUGUGCUUGGAUCUCGUCAGGUGGGAGACUGAUCUCUCAUUCUGGAGAGGAGCCUGAGCGAUCGGAAAAAGAGACCAUCAAAAUGACACCGUCUGCGGGAAAUUCCAACAAAAAAGUCAUGAUGUUCUUCUCCGACCGUCUCCUGUGGAACGAGUCAAGAGGUUGAGGUUGAGAUACGAAGGUUGAAGGAAAGAACUACAAAGUCUACUCCGAUGGCCUUCCUAAAGAAUCCACAGAUCUGAGUUUUUCAUCACGUCGGGUUUCAAAAACUUUCAUCCACCAUUGGUAUGAAGAUCUAUCAAUGCCUUGAGGUAAUUGAUUCUCUCUUCAAUAUUUUUUGAUCGAUAUGUUUCUUGAUCAUACUUGGUUUCUCCUUGCGAGUAUCUAUCUUGGUGAUCGUCAAUAUGUGCACGCAAGCUGUUCGUUGAAUUCCCAAAAUGAGAAAAGAGCCAUGAAUAUCCUUCUUUUUCUCCUCAAAUUCACCUCAUUGCCCUAAAGCUUUACACCCUCUGUUUAUUUUGCUCUUCAUGUUGCCAAAUGAUGCUAUCUAUUUCUUAAAUAGAUCCAAGAAAUCUCAGUGAUUUUAGGAAAAGGAAGUAUAGUCGGUCCAUUAAGGAAUAUGUCCAGCCAACACCUACUAUGGAAGGAUCAAUCAUCACUCUUGAAACCAUGACAUCAUCUUUCCAUGUAGAAGAUUAUUUCUUGAUAGUUAGAAGAUAAACAAUCAUUCAUAGAGCGUUGUGAUCGAUCAUCACUAUUGGAACCAUGGCAUCAUCUUUCCAUGUCAUUGAUGCAGAAAUUAUUUCUUGAUAGUUAGAAGAUAAACAAUCAUUAGAAGAUAAUGUUGGGACUGAACUUCCACUUAGUGUGGAUGUUGGGAUUUUCUUCUCUGGAUUGAGCAGUUGAAGUGUGGCACUCCUUGUAGCUAAUUAGUUAUGAUUUUCCAGGAGAUCAUUUCUAGUAUUUCCCUUUUUUCUUGCAAAUAUGUACUGCAGUGUUUGACCGUCAAGAUUAAGAAUGCUAUCAAUUUGUUGGGUUUCCA